AGGUUACAUCUACUACAAUACUGCAGAUACAGUAUAACAUUGGUAUUGCUGGUAUGAUUCCUCUCCCUUAGUAUGUCAUAGACACCAACUUCACAUCAUGUCCAGCUGCCUCUCGGAGCUCGGCUGCCCACAGAAGCUCUGGCGCAAUGGUGGGUCAUUGAGUUACAUUUUCCAGUGUGGAGUGAUAAUUGCAAGAUUUACUGAGCAGAGAAAUAUGACCCAUCAAAUUCAGUCUAAAAAUAAUUUUUGCUCUGAAAAAGAAAAUCGAAUUACCUUGCUCUUCACUAUGAAAAAUUGGCUUCAUCUGGGUCAAGAGACAUGGAACCUUUCUUUGAAGUAGACCCUACAUUCCAAAAUAUCACUGGCAAACUCUGGGGCCUGCUUCUGAUUAAAUAAUUGACAUAAACCUCCGCCGAAUAAACACUGAACCCUUCAAAAACAGAGAAGUAAAUGAAAAAUAAAAAUGCAUCUAUGCUUUAAGUAGAAGAUCUUCUGCAAUAAUUUGUUACCAGAAAGCAAUUUACUUUUCCUUUUGUAAACCAGCAUUAAAACCUAAGAAGAAAGCACACUGGGUGAAACUCUAGUUGAAACUUCGAAAUAGUCUUAAAUCUAUUCUACAUAUUAUCAGAUUUAAUGUUGACCUUAAGAGAGUGCUUCCAUAUUUAUGGUUUGCUAUCUUAUCCCUCAAAACUAAAUUUAUUACUCAUAGAAUAUGAAGCUUAAAAAGUAAAAUAUUGUAUUUUCCUGAGAAUAUUUUGGUCUUUAAAUUGACAACAGUAUAAAUACAUUGUAAGAAAAAAAAUAGCAACCCAACUGUGUGUAUGUAUACCUUGCCUCUUUCUUCAAGGAAUGCUAUCUGUGCAUAUAAAACUCAAAAACAGUUAACCAAGAAAUAAAGAAAAAGAGUAAACUCUUUUGGGUUUAUUACAGAUGAGGUUAUAACAAAAUGGGCUGACGGCAAGUGUGACAAAAAGUAUUGUUUGAAAAUUCUAAAUCUUGUUGCCACAAAACUGUGACUUUUUAGAAAUAUAUGGGGAAAUUUUAUUGUAAUAGAAUGGAAUUGAAUUUAUUGAAAUUUUAUUGUAAAUGAAUAAAAUUUUGAAGAGGUCUUCAAUAAUGGAAUGAGUAAGAUAAUUACUACUUCACUUAGCUUUCUAAAAACUUUGCACCAAUGGAUUUCUGCCUUCCCAGAUGAUUUUUUUCUCGUUUAGCUUUUGUAUACUUUGAAAAAUAGAACAAUGACUUUGUUCUGUCCUUCAUAGGUUGGGAUUUAUAAAAAUGAUUUUGUGUGCCUCUGCAAAAUGUGGAGAAGUACUGAAUAAACAACAAACAAUCAGGUGUUCUUCAGUUAAAGGGACAGUUUUUAGAGGAACCCCGUGGUUGUAAUGAAUUAUUUCUUGUUUUAAAAAGACCUUCUUACCUGAAUAACGUUGUGAAUCACACGAAUGUCAAUUUCUUGGGUUUUGGUAUUGCACUGUAGUUAUGCAAGAUGUUACUACUGGGGAAAACUGGGUACCUGGGACCUUUCUAUACUAUUUUGUAACUUCCUGUUAAUCUUUUACUUUAUUUCAAAAUAAAAAUGUUUAAAAAUGAAAAAAAUUAAAAUAAAUGUCAGUGGUCAAAAAGAGCAAAUAAAGAAAAAAGUCCUUUCUAACCAGCUCAAGAGGGUGUAUGUCCAUAUGUUGAGAUUCUGUUUGUUAAAUAUAAGUCUUCUUUUAAGGUAGUCUUGUAGAAGCUCUUAGCAAGCUUGCCUACCUUGCAUUCCUCCAAAGAUGCACUCUUUACAAUUUUGACCAUAAAGGAGAAUAGCAGAGAUAAAAAAUUUAAAUAAAAAUAAAACCGAAGCAGUAACAACAUCCUAGCAAAUGGGAACAGCUCUCCGUUGGUCUGUGCUCUACAAUACUAUUAUAAUAUUUGUGACAACAAGUAAUCCAAUUCAAUGAAUUGUCUCUAAUCCUCUGACAGCUACUUUUCCAAAAACAGAAGACAUAAUUUUUUAAUAAAGCCAGGAAGGAAACAGGUUUCACAAGAGAAGUUCAAGAAGACUGAAGCUCAUUGUUCUACCUUCUGACACAGUAGAGUCUCACCUAUUGAAGCCAUGGGAUUGUCAAUGAAAUGUAACUAGUAUGGGAAACAGUGGAAAUGUCUUCUCCAGUGUCUAUUUGAAUACAUUGAUCCUAUGAUGGCACAGUUCACUUCAAAGUGUGCUUACUCCCUACAUUUUACCCAUUCGCCUGGAAACUUCUAAAAUCCUCUGACCAGCUCAGUCAGAGCAACAGCAUAAGCAUAAAUCUUCCAAAUGAGUUAAUGUUGCAUAUACAAAACAGUCUACUGAUUGCUUAAAUUGGCUGAAGAGAAAGGGGCUAUU
ensembl:lncRNA novel transcript, antisense to AGBL3and CALD1